GGAUGUGUGCAAGCAGCAGCAAGCAGGAGGGGGUGUGCGGCAGCCUGGUCACCAAUUGUCCCACGUUGUGCUGCCAGUGCGAUGUAACCUUCCAUCCUUCGUGAACGUUUUAAGGCAGCGGGGCGUAACAAAAAGAAGGCGCCAUAUUCGACCAGGAUUCCAGGGUGAUCCAGAGCGCCUUCCUGCACGCCAUCCAGCACUACAGUCAAAACACCGCGGGCAGGAGGCUUCAGCUUCACGCCUUUGUGGGCAUCAUCAGUAUGGCGGAUGCCUUCAAGAUCUCCAGACUGAGUGGUAACACGGAGAGCAAGUGGAAGAAACCUUGGGAGACUUCCAUGACUCAGGAACAAGCACACCUCACUGGGAGCCUUGUGACUGACAGGUGGUUCAGACCGACUGGGAGACAUGACGUCAGUGCCACCACGCAGGGAGUAAAACCAAGAGGAGGAAGAGGAGCAUUCAAGAGACAUCAGCUGGUCAGCUGUCCAUUCAGUUUCACAACAGGAAGUGAAGGAUGAAGCAUGAAGGUUUUAGGCCAAAAUGAACUGAUAGCAAUCAGAAAUGACACGUCCAGCAAAACCAGCAACACAGCAACACACACACACACCCAGGCUUCCAAGUUGAUAAUCCAAAAGCCAGCAGAUGACAGCUUCCUUCCAGCACACACUUGUAUCGCCCAACUUGACCUGCCUGAAUACAAGCUGAUACAGUCCAUGCAGCAGGGAGUGCAGCCUCUACAAGUGGUGGAGGGCAUGGACACUUGGAUAUGGAUGACACUGGUUUGGGUGCCAAAUAUUAAUAGUGCACCUACACAAUUACCACACUCGCUCCUCUCACCAGGGCUUAACUAUAAAUAAUUAAAGGUAAAUAACAUGUCAUCUAUUAUCUAUUGUAUUCUAUAUUGCUGUUAAUGUUUCAUGUAUAAUGUCUUUGCUUUCAAAUGCAAGUCAAAAGGGUGAACCCCCAUUUAUACGAGUAGUAGUACUAUUCACGUUUGGCAAAUUUCACUUUUGACAUUGGUUUGGCUACACUAAUUAAACUGCUAACAGUGAGGGACUACUGUAAAUGUAGUAAUAAUUAUAAUAAUAAUAAUAAUAAUAAUAAUAAUAAUAAAAAGUAAUGAUAAAGUGCAAGACAUGUUCAUUAACACAAUUAUUUUCUCCAACAUGGAGGAGUGAGUGAGGAGGGCACAUCUGUCUGUGAUUAGGGAAUGCAAAUGACGAUGUUCCAAGGACGUCACCCUGUCCUGGGCCAUGACAUGAGAGAGAAGAGGAAAAAAGGACUCUCUCUCUCUCUCUCUCUCUCUCUCUCUCUCUCUCUCUCUCUCUCUCUCUCUCUCUCUCUCUCUCUCUCUCUCUCUCUCUCUCUCUCUCUCU